rnacentral:rRNA from 1 species
UACGGGGGGGGCAAGCGUUGUUCGGAAUUACUGGGCGUAAAGGGCUCGUAGGCGGCCAACUAAGUCAGACGUGAAAUCCCUCGGCUUAACCGGGGAACUGCGUCUGAUACUGGAUGGCUGGAGUUUGGGAGAGGGAUGCGGAAUUCCAGGUGUAGCGGUGAAAUGCGUAGAUAUCUGGAGGAACACCGGUGGCGAAGGCGGCAUCCUGGACCAACACUGACACUGAUGAGCGAAAGCCAGGGGAGCAAACGGG